rnacentral:tRNA from 1 species
GAACCGGUAUGCAAACUGGAUAAGCGCCGAGGCCUGCAACCUCGUUUGUGCGGGUUCGACCCGUCCGGUUCCCCA